rnacentral:miRNA from 12 species
UGGCAGCUGCUGCAGGGGCUCCAGCCCUCUGGGCUCAGUGAUGGCAGUGGCUCUGGGCAGGGAUGGCAGAGCACACUCCA